rnacentral:lncRNA from 1 species
UUGAAUAUAUCUGGUUAUAAUUGCAAGUUGUAGCUAACAUUAGAACCCUAUCAAUUGAAAUUUUUAUAAGUGGAGGUUAUCACAAAAUCAUUAACAAUUGUGGAAGUUUAAAAUUGAGAAAUGAAAGAAAAUCUUAAAAUAUUCUAUUGUUGAAACUCGUUACAUUAUAAUUAUGUAAAUGUUAGUGUCACUGUGAUUAAUAUACUAUAAAUAUUAACGUCUAU